UCAAGUUAUUAAGGGCGCAGGGCGGAUGCCUUGGCACUAAGAGCCGAUGAAGGACGCGAUAAGCUGCGAUAAGCUUCGGGGAGUUGCACGUAAACUUUGAUCCGAAGAUUUCCGAAUGAGGAAACUCACUUAGAGUAAUGUCUAAGUAUCAUUAAGUGAAUACAUAGCUUAAUGAGGGGAACCCGGGGAACUGAAACAUCUAAGUACCCGGAGGAAAAGAAAGAAAUUCGAUUCCGUAAGUAGCGGCGAGCGAACGCGGAAUAGCCCAAACCAGUGAAGUUUUCUUCGCUGGGGUUGCGGACACAUCAUCAACGAAGAGGUAUCGUAAACGAAGAGAGUUGGAAAGCUCCGCUAUAAAGUGUAAUAGCCACGUAGUUGAAACGAGAAGACUUUAGAUGUGAUCCAGAGUACCACGGGACACGUGAAACCCUGUGGGAAGCAGGAGGGACCAUCCUCCAAGGCUAAAUACUACUUAGUGACCGAUAGCGCAUAGUACCGUGAGGGAAAGGUGAAAAGAACCCCGGGAGGGGAGUGAAAUAGAACCUGAAACCCUGUGCUUACAAGCUGUGGGAGCACUUUAUAUGUGUGACCGCGUACUUUUUGUAGAACGGGCCAACGAGUUACGACAGUAAGCAAGGUUAAGUACUUAAGGUAUGGAGCCGUAGUGAAAGCGAGUCUUAAAUGGGCGUUAAGUUUUCUGUCGUAGACCCGAAACCGGGCGACCUACCCAUGAGCAGGAUGAAGCGAAAGUAAAAUUUCGUGGAGGUCCGAACCCACGAGCGUUGAAAAGCUCGGGGAUGACUUGUGGGUAGCGGUGAAAUUCCAAUCGAGCCCGGAGAUAGCUGGUUCUCCCCGAAAUAGCUUUAGGGCUAGCCUCAAGGUUGAGAAAUACGGAGGUAGAGCACUGAAUAUCCUAGGGGGCAUUGCGCUUACCGAAGAUUAUCAAACUCCGAAUGCCGUUAUUUUAUACUUGGGAGUCAGACUGUGGGUAAUAAGAUUCAUAGUCGAGAGGGCAACAGCCCAGAUCGUCAGCUAAGGUCCCUAAAUGUAAGUUAAGUGGUAAAGGAUGUGGGAUUGCAUAGACAACCAGGAUGUUGGCUUAGAAGCAGCCACUCAUUUAAAGAGUGCGUAAUAGCUCACUGGUCGAGUGAUCCUGCGCCGAAGAUUACCGGGGCUAAAACUUACUACCGAAGCUACGAUAUCAUUUAUGAUAGGUAGGGGAGCUUCCUAUGCAGGCUGAAGCAUGACCGUAAGGACAUGUGGACAGUAUAGGAGUGAGAAUGUUGGCAUGAGUAGCGAGACGUGGGUGAGAAUCCCACGGGCCGUAAACCCAAGGUUUCCAGGGGAAGGUUCGUCCGCCCUGGGUNUGGUGCAUGGUUGUCGUCAGCUCGUGUCGUGAGAUGUUGGGUUAAGUCCCGCAACGAGCGCAACCCUUGCCUUUAGUUGCCAGCAUUAAGUUGGGCACUCUAGAGGGACUGCCGAGGAUAACUCGGAGGAAGGUGGGGAUGACGUCAAAUCAUCAUGCCCCUUAUGCUUAGGGCUACACACGUGCUACAAUGGGUGGUACAGAGGGUUGCCAAGCCGUGAGGUGGAGCUAAUCCCUUAAAGCCAUUCUCAGUUCGGAUUGUAGGCUGAAACUCGCCUACAUGAAGCUGGAGUUACUAGUAAUCGCAGAUCAGAAUGCUGCGGUGAAUGCGUUCCCGGGUCUUGUACACACCGCCCGUCACACCAUGGGAGUUGGGGGCGCCCGAAGCCGGUUAGCUAACCUUUUAGGAAGCGGCCGUCGAAGGUGAAACCAAUGACUGGGGUGAAGUCGUAACAAGGUAGCCGUAUCGGAAGGUGCGGCUGGAUCACCUCCUUUCUAAGGAGUAAUUACCUACUGUUUAAUUUUGAGGGUUCUUAAAACUUUCUAAAAUAUGUUUGACAAAAUUGUCAGAGAUAUGUUAUUAUAUUUCUGCAAAAAAGUUGAAUGAAUAAAAUGUGGGGGUGUAGCUCAGCUGGGAGAGCACUUGCCUUGCACGCAAGGGGUCAGGAGUUCGAUCCUCCUCAUCUCCACCAUAUUAGUACUUUGAAAACUGCAUAACAUUUAGUGAUGAUUAAAUAAACCAAUUAUAAGAGAAGACAACUCUUAAAAAAAUAACACUUUUGAGCAACAGACAUGAACGAAUGUGAAUGGAUGUUUGCGAAGUCAUUUAAUAACUGG
rnacentral:rRNA from 1 species